CUCUCUCUCUCUCUCUCUCUCUCUCUCUCUCUCUCUCUCUCUCUCUCUCUCUCUCUCUCUCUCUCUCUCUCUCUCUCUCUCUCUGGAAGACGAAUUUCCAUGGAGUCGUUGUAUUGCGCUGUCGCAAACUAGCUGUGGUUGUUGAGAUUGUAGCUUGGUGGUGGCCUUUUUUUCCCCCCUGAGAUGUGAGAAGAGCCAAACUGACUGUAUUCAACAAAUAGAAGUCCCAUUAUUUGAUGAUCUGCUUUGGAACUCGGUGCUUAGAAGUUAGGAUAUUUACAUGCCUAUUUACUUCUUUCUCUUACUUUCUUUUACAGCUUUAUGGUGCUCGUUUGAUUGAUUUUUGUCUUAGUGAGAAACCUAAAGUUCUCUUUUCUCCUUUGCCUAGCACAAAAGGCCAAGUCCAUAAAGUUGUAGAGAUCGCGGGUUUAGAAAUCUACUGCAACUCCUCCAAUGGAGCUUCGAGUUUGACGAUCAGGGACAAUGAUGGAGACAAUCAAUGCCUGUGCAAUGCUAAUUGUGAAAGCAAUCAGUUUCACCCUAUUCUAGCACCACUGAAUGUGUCAGUGUCACUUUCAAUUCAGUGCUCCCAUUUUGUAUUAUGAUUAAUGAGCACUGUCUUUGACUUCUCAUUAGUGGUAAGUGAUUUUUCAACAAUUUCUCCCACUGUAUAAUGAGAAUUGUCUCUCACGCUUUGAAUUGAUCAAGCCCGUGUCAUACUAAUGCGCUGCGUCUAUCAACUUGCAGGCGACACUGCAUCGACGGGGAAAAGAAAUUCGGAGUCCAACCCUUUUGCACUAGCUUUAUCUUUGGAAUGUCGACCCAUGAAGAUGUAUUAGUAAUUGGAAACAAGCCAGUCUUGCUGAGGAGUGAGAAAAUUCCAGUCAUUGCUGUUCGUUAAUGUUGUUUUAGUUUCUUUCUUUUUUUUUAGUUACUUUGUACUACAAAACU